CUGGCAUAUUACAUUUUUUUUCUUUUCUUUAUUCUCACAGUUGGAUUGUGUCUUGAUCAUCACCAUUACUGAUGACUGGAAUUACUGAACUAUUCAGAUUUCAUGUCUUUUUGAACGAGUCUGGUUUGUGCUGGUGUUUCGGUUUGUAUUGUACCUUGAAGUGCUGCCUAAACAUAAGGUAUGAGCAGGUGAUGUUUGCAUCUCUUGAACUUUUUAUUGCCAAUAUCUGAACACUUUUGCAGAUCUUGUGUAUGUUUUGUACUUUUUGUUCUUUUCCCGAAAUGCAACUAGCCUAACACAACUAAUGGUUUGUCAAGAGAGACAAAGAGAGAGUCGCGCCAGCUGUUUUAACUGAACUAAGCUGUUCACUUCAGACUCCUUAUGCUGGAUUCAUAGAAAGAAGGCAGGGUGGGCCUCAUCAUCAUCAGGAACGUGAUGCUGACCCAGCGGAGCUCCCGAGAGGACGCAUCUCAAACAGUGAGCCAAUAACAGAGGCUGGAGAGGCAAGGGGACCACUCUAGAUCCUGUGGCAAGCAGACGUUCUCUAUUGGAACAUCUCCAUUGUCCUCUGACACACAUGUUCGGUAUUUACCAACAGAGGGAGAGGCGGAGGCGAGAGUCAGAGGAUGGAAUGGGUGGUGAGCUCUGUGAACCACAGUGAAAAAAAAACGUAGUGGAACAUAUGAAUGAAACCAGAUUUCCAGUAGGUUAGCUGGAUUAAGGCCAAACACUCGCAGACGGACACACUCCUACUUGGUGGUUUUCCUGUUUAUGUGGACUGGGCAUACCGUUGCCAGAGCCAGGACUCGCACAUCCUGUCUCCUCUCAUUCUCUUCAGCAGGUUUCUUGACAUCUGUUUGAAAUGUUGACUCCCAUACUUUCAUCUCUCCUUUAUAAAUAACUCUCAUUCUCUGUCUUUCACUGUUUGUGUGUGCAUCCGACUCUUUGUAUCCCUUGCUCACAAUAUUUAAUAACUGAAACGUUUUUGAGGUGUGGUCGAAAAAUUUCUUGUGGGUUGGCUGGCCUUACAGGUGUCUUUUUGAGAGUGCAGAUUUGAGUCACUUGAAAGGAAAGUGGGUCUGCUCUCUGACUCAGUUAAAUUCCAUUCUGUUCCCAAACUCAUGUCAGUAUUCUUCAUGCAAAUGAGUUUCUCAGAUAGAGGGCACUGUCAGUUGCUUACUUCUAACUAUAACAGCUGGUCCUACUAAUAUUUGUUUGCUCCAUCAUAUGCUCUCUACCCUAAACAGUAAGAGUUUAUGUGCUGGCAGUGCAAUAUCAGCACAUAUUCUCUUACAGUGUAGGGAGGGGAGACUCCAUCUCCCAGUGGCAGUACACAUGCUAAAAAAGGCACUGUUUUAAAUCUGGCUCUGUUUGUCUUUGGAAAGGAAUGUGAUAAAUUCAUGAGUCAGCAAAGGCUCAUUUUAGGCAGAUUUUUUUAACUUUAUUAUUUCUUUAACAGACAUGUCAAAUCCAUGAAAUGUUAAGUUGCCUGUAAAAGAACUUUCAUUGGAAACUGGGCCUGGUCCCCAAAUGUGUAGCAAAAAGUUGAUAUGGUUACAAGAAUGAAACAAGGGUUAGGAUAAUCACAACACUGAUGCUUUUGGUAGUUCUAACAAUUUACUUUCACAAACCUCAUUACAUUGAAAUCUGCAGAUAUAUUCUUUCACCUCCAGAGGGCAGUAUGUUACCACAUAACACUGAGACACCUGCUGUAUAACUUGUUUUCCCAUGAUCUGGGGCAUGUCCUGGAAGAUAGAGGGGGAAAUUAUAGGGUGUAUCAUCCAAAGCAUUUUCUAAAGAUUGAUUUUUUAAAAAAAUAAAUAAUAGAAUGCUUUUUUUCUUGGUAUUCCUCUCAAAGUUUUGUCAUAUUAAUGACAACAAUCACUUCAUUUUCACUAUCACACAUUUUCUUUCAUGAGAUUUUUCUUUCUUUCUUCAGUGGCAGGUGUGUUAUAUGCUGAAAUACACUUAACUGUGUUACCACUUUAAUCAGGUUGUUACAGGAGUUAUAGCCAGACAGACAGACUCAUUAGCAUUGUUUCAGUGUAACACAGAACUGUUAUUGUCCUCACUGCAAUGAAUUCCUCCAACGGAGAUGUUCCUGCUUCAUCAGGUAGUAUGUAAGAUCUGCUGCAUACUCAGUGAUAUGUUACACAGAAAAAUAAAAAAUGAAAAAUUAAUGGACA